UGGGGAAUAUUGCACAAUGGGCGCAAGCCUGAUGCAGCCAUGCCGCGUGUGUGAAGAAGGCCUUCGGGUUGUAAAGCACUUUCAGCGAGGAGGAAGGGUAGUGUGUUAAUAGCACAUUGCAUUGACGUUACUCGCAGAAGAAGCACCGGCUAACUCCGUGCCAGCAGCCGCGGUAAUACGGAGGGUGCAAGCGUUAAUCGGAAUUACUGGGCGUAAAGCGCACGCAGGCGGUUUGUUAAGUCAGAUGUGAAAUCCCCGCGCUUAACGUGGGAACUGCAUUUGAAACUGGCAAGCUAGAGUCUUGUAGAGGGGGGUAGAAUUCCAGGUGUAGCGGUGAAAUGCGUAGAGAUCUGGAGGAAUACCGGUGGCGAAGGCGGCCCCCUGGACAAAGACUGACGCUCAGGUGCGAAAG
rnacentral:rRNA from 1 species